CCCAAGGGAGAAGUUCCCGCCUGUGGGCCAGAGCUGGCCCAAAAGGGCCGAGAUGGUGAUCAGCCAUGUUUGGAGUGCAGUUGGCGUUUUCUCCUCAGCAAAGGGUGGAGGGAAUGGACCUGGGGGAAGAGCAGAUGGGCAUUUCUGGAGCAAUACUGCCAUCAAGAGGAACUUGUUUCCUGGGCAUUUCUCUUGCUGCCUGUCAGCCUACUGACAUGACCUCUCACACGUUCAGUUGCAUCUCUUACAGUUCAGGAGAAAUACAUUGAUAUGAUGUCCUGGAGAAAGACAGAUACACAAACAUAGAGAGAGAGGGUUAGAGGGGGAGAUGGCAAGAGAGAGAGAAAAAAAAGAGUUUGGUUCAAAGUGUUGGGAAUGAGUCCGGGAGGCAGCAGCUUGGGUGUUGUCUGCUUUUUCUAUUUUCUCUGUCUUAUCUUCACAACAGUGUUCGUGGUCAGUGUGUUUCGGCAGCACACGUUGAAGGUAUUCCCAUAUCUACUCUGCCCCAACACAGUCAUAAUAAGGUUUUUGUCAGAGAAUAUAUGUGGGGAGGAAGAUCAGAAAAAGUGGGUCUUGCCCAUCUACUGCUCCCCUGUGACACACAGGAGUCCUCAACAGCACUCACACCUGUCUGUUUUUUCCCACCUCAAACAUUCUGGGGUGAGCUGGCCAGAGACUGAUAUAGCCCAGGUGUGUUUGGGGUGGCACCUGGCACUCCUCCUGUCUCAUCUAUCUUUGCCUGUACCCCAUGGGGCUGCCCCAGGAGACAAGCCGGGGGCUCAAUCCUGCUGUUCUAAAAUUGUACGUUCACCUUACUCUUUAGUCCAC
rnacentral:lncRNA from 1 species